rnacentral:rRNA from 1 species
CCCCCUAAGGCUAAAUACUACUUAGUGACCGAUAGCGCAUAGUACUGUGAAGGAAAGGUGAAAAGGACCCCGGGAGGGGAGUGAAAGAGAACCUGAAACCCUGUGUCUACAAGCUGUGGAAGCACUUUAUAUGUGCGACCGCGUACUUUUUGUAGAACGGUCCGGCGAGUUACGCUUACUGGCAAGGUUAAGCACUUCAGGUGUGGAGCCGUAGGGAAACCAAGUCUUAAGAGGGCCUUAAGUCAGUAGGAGUAGACCCGAAACCGGGUGAUCUAUCCAUGUCCAGGUUGAAGCUGCCGUAAGAGGUAGUGGAGGACCGAACCCACAUCCGUUGAAAAGGGUGGGGAUGAGGUGUGGAUAGGGGAGAAAUUCCAAUCGAACCCGGAGAUAGCUGGUUCUCCUCGAAAUAGCUUUAGGGCUAGCCUCGAUACAGAUUUGCGGAGGUAGAGCACUGAAUUUCCUAGGGGGCGUCAAAGCCUACCGAAGAAUAUCAAACUCCGAAUGCCGCGUAAUCGAUUAUCGGGAGUCAGACUGCACGAGAUAAGUUGGGCGGUCAAAAGGGAAAGAGCCCAGACCUUCAGUUAAGGUCCCCAAGUGCGCGUUAAGUGGAAAAGGAUGUGGGAUUUCGAAGACAACCAGGAUGUUGGCUCAGAAGCAGCCAUCCAUUCAAAGAGUGCGUAAUAGCUCACUGGUCGAGAGGUCCUGCGCCGAAAAUGUCCGGG